rnacentral:rRNA from 1 species
CACUACGGAAUAGCUUUUGGAAACGAAAGGUAAUACCGUAUACGCCCUCCGGGGGAAAGAUUUAUCGGUGAAAGAUCGGUCCGCGUUAGAUUAGCUAGUUGGUGAGGUAACGGCUCACCAAGGCUACGAUCUAUAGCCGGUCUGAGAGGAUGAUCAGCCACACUGGAACUGAGACACGGUCCAGACUCCUACGGGAGGCAGCAGUGGGGAAUAUUGCACAAUGGGCGCAAGCCUGAUGCAGCCAUGCCGCGUGAAUGAUGAAGGCCUUAGGGUUGUAAAAUUCUUUCGCCAGGGAUGAUAAUGACAGUACCUGGUAAAGAAGCCCCGGCUAACUUCGUGCCAGCAGCCGCAGUAAUACGAAGGGGGCUAGCGUUGUUCGGAAUUACUGGGCGUAAAGCGCACGUAGGCGGACUUUUAAGUCAGAUGUGAAAUCCCGAGGCUCAACCUCGGAACUGCAUUUGAAACUGGGAGUCUAGAGAUCAGGAGAGGUUAGCGGAAUACUGAGUGUAGAGGUGAAAUUCGUAGAUAUUCGGUGGAACACCAGUGGCGA